CAUACGGCCUUGGGCGGUGGGAGGGUGUCGUUGUUCGGAGGUCAAUUUUGCUCAAUUCUCGGAUUUUCCUUAAAUCCUGAAAUCUGCACGAGACGUAUCGAGAUAGGACAAGAAUUGCUCAGCCCCUAGGAAGGCGAUGCCCGGCUGGGAGUGCCCCGGUGGUGCGCGCGGCACGCUGACGUCAUGGAGCAGCUGAGCCUGAGCGGCCGUCCGUCGCGCUCGCGCAGUGUGUCGCCGGCCCCGCUGCUGCCGCCGCUGCCGCCGGCCACCCUCAGUCCUGCUCGGACGCUGCCAGUUAUGCUAGUCUCCCGUCAGACAUGAACCGACAGCGUAGUUUGCCCUUGUUCAAAAGCAAAUGGGGCUCCGAGUCGGCGGCGUCCGGGGCUUCGGCG